CUUAAAACCACAGCUAUAUGCCCAGGUCCGGCCGGUGCCCAGAGAAAAGGAUUUCACCGAACACGUGUGGUCCCUGUGGACCAUCAAGCUCGAUUGUCACGCCCAAGUGGAACCGUUUUCCCUCUUGGAAAAUAGUGGCAAUCUGUCCUUAAAUGUUCAGCUAUGUAAAAUAGAAGAGACCUGAGCAGGCAAAAUCCGAGGGCGGCUGAAGUUUAGCGCCUCGUCUCCAUCCAUCUGGCUUCAGAUUCUGGUCCCAGCUGAAACAACUCCCUUUCAUCCAAUUUAGACUUGAUUCCCUCACCCCCAAAACCAUCACCAAAUGAUUUGAGGUCGCUCAAGAAAACAGACACCCCCCCCCAAAAGGAAGGGCAGGCUGCAUACAUGCAUUAUUAGGUACCUCUUACCCCUUUCAUCAUCACCUCGAUGCCAUCCAGCCCCACAGCCCCCAGGUUAGGAUCUGAUGCUUUAAGCUGUGCUAAAAUUUCCAUUUGCCCAGACAUAAUAAUUGAGAUUUUUUUUUUUUUUUUUUCCCCAAAGAGGCCCUGCACGGUGUGACUGGGAGAGUGAAUAAUCCGCAGUGCCGGUAAUUUGUAUGUAUCUGGGAUGCGAACACACCAGGCUGCCUGCCUGAAUUUGCCUUCACGCUGGGGGUGUUUCUUCCCGUGAGUAACGCGUUCAGCUAACUGAGCACUUGUGGUUUUGUUGCUAUAAUAUGCAUCAGGUCUUCUUUGAAGGUGGGGGUUUGGGCAGAGCAGACAGCAGCCACGAGGGAUGCCUGCCCUGAUGUCUCUCCAGAAGCCCUGCUCUCACCAGGGAAAAGUUGGGGCUGGACACAAGGAAUGGCUAUAAAUUGCUAUUUUCUUCCUUCUUCCCCUGCAAAGAAAUAGAGAUAUUUUCCCUGAAAGGAAGAAAUGCCGGGCCUUAUACCGGCCUCAGGCAACAGCCAUCAGAAAAGCAGAUCAGAGGCGUGUAGGGCAGUGGUUGUCCUCUAAAGGGCAGCUUUAUGGAAGGGGUGAAUGCUUCUUCCCAUUGUCAGGCUUCCAGCUCCUUCCACACCAGUUUUGGAGGCUUUGCAGAGGCUUUGCACCCAGAUGUUUCAGCAUUUACCGUCUGCUGGAAGUGGACAAGCUCAAAACACCGAGACAUUGGCCAUCCUCUCCUCAUCUAUACAACACGCAUCCCAUGGCAAUCCCGAGUGCCAGUGCCGGUGCAUAUAAAACAGCUCUCCAAGAUGCCACUGGCAGAGAAGAGGCUGUGGAAGGGGACGAGAAAAACACCAUUUUAAAUGCAUCUCUUCAGGGACACCCUAACAUUUCUGAUGCCUGGAUGUAGCAUCUGCGGCGGCUGCGAGAAGCUGAUCCUGUAAAUCUCCCUGUGUGCUGAGGAGGGGACAGACCCUGAUCUAGGUCAUGCCCAAGUGAGAUAAGACACCUCUGCCCUGUGGUUUAAUGCUGUUUGCAGGAUGCUUGGUUGCUUCUGGACCACACUGAUUUUACGGCAAGGGAGUCUGAUGCUGUAUCAAGCUACAACAGAUUGAUGUGUUUGUUUUGGCAGCCAUGCACAUCUCUGAGUUAGGAAAAGCCUGCAUUAAUCCUGGUGAUGGCUUUUCAUAUUAAACCACAGCCACUGAGCGAAAAGAGCCUUGGCUGCCCAUAUCUUCCGAUCACUUUAGUGGAAGGGCUGUUAAUGGAGAUACCUGGCUAACAGCAUAAGCUCUGGAUGCAUCCAGAGGGAGAAAUAAGGAUCAGGGAACUUAAUGAGAAAAUUUGUUGCUGAACCAACCCCCAUCAAAGCCCACAGAUUUAUAUUAGUGAGGAAUUUGAUUGCAUAUGAUGGUAGCAAAAUUUCCCCCCAAUCCCACGAAGGAGGUGCCGGUCUGACAGUUUUCUGUAGAGAGAGGGAUCCUGCUCAGCACCACUGCUGGUUUCUGCAAGAUGAUUUUCCAGUUUUUGCAGAGGAACAGAUGGGCCAAAAGUCAGGAAUUUGUGGGACAAAGUUCACCUAAAGCCUCUGGAUUACAGCAAGCAGCGGUCCUCUGUCUUCACUGCUUUUUCCAAAUCGGAGACAUCCCUUUUGCAUAGGCAAAUCAGGCAGUUGGUGACUUUCUACCUACUUCUCUCCACAGUGUGCAUAUUUGCAGAUCAGACCCAGAAUUUUAGGGGGGCCCUGAUGCCAAUUCCCCAAGCCUUUGGGGAAAUCAGCCCUGGAUGCCUGCACCCCUUGGCACAAACUGCAGGUGAGGACAGCAUUGCUGCUCCCAUCACCACAGGGACGGUGGUGCAUGCCCUGCUCUGACUUGGGUUUAUUCUUCUGCCAAGGUGGCAUUUGGGUCACUUCGUUGCAUAUAUCUCAAAAAGGCAGAGCGUGAUUUCCAGCUGACAGGUAAAAUACACUGCUCGAGUGUUGUGCUUAAGGCCAUUCUCCCCUUGCAUUUCCAGGACAUCCCCUUUUCCAAUUUAAACAUGUGCAGGCGGGGGAAGAUGCCCAGCCACAACAAGACCAUGGAUUUGGUUUCGCAGCCACUCUUGCUCUGACUUCUGUGAGGCUGCAAAAACCCUGGGCAGAGAGGAGAGGAUGGCCCUAAUGCAGUGUCUGGGGUGAAUAUUUUGGCUAUUUUUUAUCCAUAGGUGGCAGCAGCUGCCUGCGCUGGGCAGAUGCUGUCCGAAUCCCAAACCUGGCACUGAGCAAUACAGCUGGGCGAAGGCAGCCCAGGAGGAGUAGGAAGGCAAAGCCUGAGCACAAGUCGUGCCU